rnacentral:rRNA from 1 species
UACAGAGGGUGCAAGCGUUGUUCGGAAUUAUUGGACGUAAAGCGCGUGUAGGCGGCUUUGCAAGUCGGGUGUGAAAGCCCUCAGCUUAACUGAGGAAGUGCGCCCGAAACUGCUUGGCUUGAGUACCGGAGAGGAUGGCGGAAUUCCCCAAGUAGAGGUGAAAUUCGUAGAUAUGGGGAGGAACACCGGUGGCGAAGGCGGCCAUCUGGACGGAUACUGACGCUGAGACGCGAAAGCGUGGGUAGCAAACAGG